CAGCGCCGCGGGAAUACGUAGGGUGCGAGCGUUAAUCGGAACUACUGGGCGUAAAGCGUGCGCAGGCGGUUCGCUAAGACAGAUGUGAAAUCCCCGGGCUUAACCUGGGAACUGCAUUUGUGACUGGCGAGCUAGAGUAUGGCAGAGGGGGGUAGAAUUCCACGUGUAGCAGUGAAAUGCGUAGAGAUGUGGAGGAAUACCGAUGGCGAAGGCAGCCCCCUGGGCCAAUACUGACGCUCAUGCACGAAAGCGUGGGGAGCAAACAGGAUUAGAUACCCCCGUAGUCCCUGUCUCUUAUACA
rnacentral:rRNA from 1 species